rnacentral:rRNA from 1 species
AGUGAACGCUGGCGGUAGGCCUAACACAUGCAAGUCGAACGGCAGCACAGUAAGAGCUUGCUCUUACGGGUGGCGAGUGGCGGACGGGUGAGGAAUACAUCGGAAUCUACUUUUUCGUGGGGGAUAACGUAGGGAAACUUACGCUAAUACCGCAUACGACCUACGGGUGAAAGCAGGGGAUCUUCGGACCUUGCGCGAUUGAAUGAGCCGAUGUCGGAUUAGCUAGUUGGCGGGGUAAAGGCCCACCAAGGCGACGAUCCGUAGCUGGUCUGAGAGGAUGAUCAGCCACACUGGAACUGAGACACGGACCAGACUCCUACGGGAGGCAGCAGUGGGGAAUAGUGGACAAUGGGCGCAAGCCUGAUCCAGCCAUACCGCGUGGGUGAAGAAGGCCUUCGGGUUGUAAAGCCCUUUUGUUGGGAAAGAAAAGCAGCAGGUUAAUACCCCGCUGUUCUGACGGUACCCAAAGAAUAAGCACCGGCUAACUUCGUG